rnacentral:tRNA from 1 species
GGAGCGGUGGCUGAGUGGUCGAAAGCGCUCCCCUGCUAAGGGAGUAUACCCCAAAAGGGUAUCGAGGGUUCGAAUCCCUCCCGCUCCGCCA